CCAGAUAGAAGAACAUAUCCUACAUAUAGGCAAGAGCUUUUGGGAUAGCUGCUGCUCCAGUUCUUUGGACCCACAUGAAGACCAAGCUGCAUAUCUGCUUGUGUGCGUUUGUGCAGGUUUAGCCCUUCCAGCCCACCGCAGCACGGGGUCCCUGGCCCGGGGAGUCUCCAGACACCCACAAGGCCCCACACAGGAUCCACCAUGGGAUCCUAAGACCUCUGGUGAGUGGAACACAGUGCCUGCUCCAAUCCAAUCACGCAAGACCUGAGACUGCAUUAAUUAAGGAAGCAGAUAACCCCGCCUGAUCCAGGGCUCAAGUCCCUUCCGGCCCCCUCAGCACAGGAUCCCUGGCCCGGGGAGUCUCCAGACACCCGCAAGGACCCAUACAGGACCCUCCACGGAUUUUUAAAACCUAAGAAAAUGAAGCUAUUCAGGACCACACAGUCUACAAAGUGGAAGAAAAUUACAAUUCUAUUGCUGACAUCCUCAGUGAAAUAAACAGUGAGUUAAUAG
rnacentral:lncRNA from 1 species